rnacentral:ncRNA from 2 species
UUCUUUGAGCAAAGGUGUCUAAACUCCCAUAAAGAGCAGGACACCGCGCCGCAAUGCUGCACCCGCAAGGGCGGGCAUUCAAGGGUGGCGGGGGAAACCCCACCGCCUUCCCGCAGAAGAAACGCUGCAAUUUGAAAAAAAGAAC